AAGUGAAGGAACAGAUUAUCGUCAUAAAUGUUUCAGCAAAGAACUGAAUGAUAAAAAAUUUGUUCAAUUCGUUCUAAAUAGAGUGCCCUGAAAUAAUCUAAUUUGUUUCAGCACCAAAUAGGGACAAGGUCUGGUAGCAUGAGAUACAAAGCUACUCAAUACUCGCUCUAUUUUCCUUUUUUUGUACAUUUCUCAAUACAUUAACACUUCAAUUCUUUAUAUCUGGAUUUUCGAGACCGGAUUUAAGCUCUUCUUAGGUAGCUCGCAGAAUUCCUAAAACUCCCACAACUGUAAACCAAUCCCCUAAGUAUUAGCUCAAAAGGAUAACAGUUUAAGUGAAAAUCUUGCCGCAACUCUUCUUGCUGAACCCAUAACUCUUAUUCUUUUUGUCAACGAAAAUCAUGAGUGAAAUGGCUACGCCAAUUAUCACUUUCCUACAUGAUUAAGCAUUUAUAUUCGACCGAGAUUCUUUAUUUUUAAAUUUUUUGAAGCAGUAAAUAAGUUGAUUCUCCAAGGUAUAA